UUCUUUUAAUUUCCCCAAUUAGUGGCCAAAAGAAAGAAGAAAGCUUUUUCUCAGUUCUUUCUUUAAUCUAUGAAUUGCAUUCUUUUCAAAACCGUGGGCCUUGACAUACUCGAUUGAUUCUUCUCCCACAAUAAGCUCCAGCAGAUAUGAGUCGGUUAAUUUCCGUACGUACCUGGAUUACAAAAUAGAGUACUGGUAAAGCGUACGAGCACUACUCCACUCACACCAAACCCACCCACUUUCUCUAUCUCAAUCUCCAUCACCCUCUAUAUAUCAUCGUAAGCACCGCUUAAAUUACAAGUACUAGCUAGUCUUUCUCUUUCUCUUGCCAUAUAUAAACUUUUAGGACAAUCAACUAAUCAGCGAGAUCGAUGAUCGGAAAGGGAGAGGAGAAUGGAGAACGAUGAAGUAUCAACUCGGCCUUCUUUAGCUUUUCCUCUGGGUUUGGCUCUUCUUCUUCUCAUGCUAUUGAGCAUCAGCACCUUCUUCUUCUGCUGCCUCUACUGGGACAGAGUUCGAUCUCUCUUCAUAUCCUCUCUCGAUCAAGAUCAAGACCCAGAAGCAAAUUUAGAUCAGAAACCUGCACGUCCAAAAACGAUGGAAAAUCAAAAUCAACUACAGAGCUUGCCAGUACUGAUGCCUGGAGAUCAAGUGCCAAAGUUCAUAGCAAUUGCAUGUCCCUGUGAACUUCCGGCGGUGGAGAAGAAGAUCACGGUGAUAGUAGACGAGCCUACCCGUUUGUGUCAUGCUAGUACUGUAUGUAGCUAGUUUUUUUUUUUUUUUGGCUCUUUUUUUUUCUUUUUAUAAGCAGUAUAUGAUUUUGUAUAAUAUUAUUUGUAAAAAGGAAAUUAAUUUAUGCUAAUUGUGUGAGGUGGAACCCUAUAACAGAAAACAAAUUAACCUC